GUCUCAAUUACUCUUGCAUUUAUUUGGUUUAAAUGAUCUCUCAAUCUAAUAUACUUCCCUUUUUUUUCAAUUCUCGAACUACCCCAACCCCAUUAUGAAAUUACACAGUUGCCCUUUCAUAACUAACGUAUUUGACCUCAUAAUAAUAUCCUCACAUGCACAGCCGUGUGGGUUUGCAUCAAUGGCUUUGCUUAAUUAUAAUAUUGACAUUCAACUACUUGCUUUAGCUUAGCUAUGUAUUUUCUUUGGCUAUUGAAUGCGCACAAGCUUAAAAUUUGGUGUUAAUCUUGUCAUUGCUUCCUAAUUUGACUAGGCUUUAUAGAUUUUAUUGCACCCCUUUCUUUGUGUUGCUGUGGCUUGCUCUCAUUGGCUUAUGAGAAAUGACUGUGGCAAUGCAUGCUGAAAAAUUACCUAACAUUCUUAUAAGAAAAUUAGGAACAAGAAGAUAGGUUUCUUCUGCUAAAGAUGGAACAAAUCUCACCCACCAACACUGCUGCCGCUAUAGAUGAUCUACUUUACCUAGGAAUUAAGGGGCAGUGGUGUCGUGGAUGACGUCGAGCAAAACAGUGCUCUUGCAUUUGGGGCAUCUGGGGUCCUCCUCUGAUAGCAUCACGUACAUGAGGCACCUAGGGCACCCCACCAGCAUCAUCGAGGUGGCCUCAGGGCUGGUGGAGUACUGCAGCGUCUCGUUCAGCUCGGAAGACACACAUGAGCUCGGGGGAGACACGGUCAGUGAUCUGGUCGGGGACUCCACCCGCCUUGGUGGCGACAAGUUCAGCUUCAGGUGCAUAUUAUAUAUAAGAGGAGAUAGAUGGGAUCUCUUUAAAGCUUAAUUAAAUUAUGCUGAGGGGGUGGGGGUUAGUGGAUUUGAAAUCAAUUGUAGAAGAUGAGCUAGUGUAAAUUGAGAGCCAGGAAAUGUAUUAAUUGUUGGAAAAGAUCCCAAGAUGGUUGCAGAAAAGGGAAAUUUGUAGUAAAUAUUUUGCAAUUAUGGCCGACAUUCAUUGCCUAUACUAAACUAUUCUUUCUCUA